rnacentral:rRNA from 1 species
UGAGGAAUAUUGGUCAAUGGGCGAGAGCCUGAACCAGCCAAGUCGCGUGAGGGAAGACGGUCCUACGGAUUGUAAACCUCUUUUGUCGGGGAGCAAUAAAGCGUACGCGUACGCAGAUGCGAGUACCCGAAGAAAAAUGCAUCGGCUAACUCCGUGCCAGCAGCCGCGGUAAUACGGAGGAUGCGAGCGUUAUCCGGAUUUAUUGGGUUUAAAGGGUGCGCAGGCGGAAAGUGCAAGUCAGCGGUCAAACGACGGGGCUCAACCCCGUCUCGCCGUUGAAACUGUCUUUCUAGAGUGAGCGAGAAGUAUGCGGAAUGCGUGGUGUAGCGGUGAAAUGCAUAGAUAUUGGGAGGAACACCAGUGGCGAAGGCGGCUUACUGGACGGUAACUGACGUUGAGGCUCGAAAGCGUGGGGAGCAAACAGGAUUAGAUACC